rnacentral:rRNA from 1 species
UUCUUGAAAAUUAAGAAAAUUGGCGGUAUUUUAGCCUAUUCAGAGGAACCUGUCCUAUAAUUGAUAAUACACGUUUUUAUUUACUUAUUUUAAUUAGUUUAUAUAUCGCCGUAGAUUGAAUAUUUUUUAAGAAUAAAAAUGUUCAGAAUUUUUAGAAGAAAAAAAGACAGGUCAAGAUAUAGCUUAUAAAUAAGAAGAGAUGGGUUACAAUAAAUUGUAUUUAUAUGGAUUAGUUUUUGUAAUUAGAACUAUGAAGGUGGAUUUGAAUGUAAUUUUAUUUAGAAAUUUAAAAUGAUUAUAGCUCUAAAAUAUGUACAUAUCGCCCGUCGCUUCCAUUUUAAGGUGGAAUAAGUCGUAACAUAGUAGGUGUACUGGAAAGUGUCUCUAGAACGAUCAAAUUAAAGCUUAGACGAAGUAUUUCAUUUACAUUGAAAGGAGUAUUAUAAAUUAAUAUAAUUUGAUAAUUUUUUUGUUAUUAAUAUUUUUAAUUUAUUUUUGAUUUUAAAAAAAGUAAUUUAUUUUUUUAUUAGUUUGUAUGAAUAAAUAAAUUUAAUUAUAGUGAAUUAGUAUUGUGAAAGAAGUUUUUUAGUUAUUAAAAAAAAAAAUUAAUUUUUUGUACCUGGGUAUCAGGGUUUAUUAAUUAAAAUUUAAUUAUUUAAAUUUCUCGAAUUUAAAAGAGCUAUAAUUAUAUAUUUAUUAUUGUGGAAUAAAUAUUAUAAAUAUAAUUAUAGAAGUGAGAUGCUAUACGAUUUUAAAUAUAUCUAGUUUUUUAAGAAAAAAAUUAAAUUUUAUUUUUAUUUUAUUAUUUAAUUUAGUUAUUAAUUAAAUAAUAAUAAAAUUUUAUAUUUUAGGGGAUGAGCUUUAAAAUAAAGGAAUAUAAUUAAUAUAAAAAAUUUAAUAAGUAGAAUUAAAAGUUUUCAUCUUUUUUAGUGUUUUAUAACUAAUUAAAAAUAGAAAAUUAGAUUUAUAUAAAUAUAUUGAUUUAUUUUUUUUAUUGAAAUAUAAAUUUUAAUUUUUGAAAUUUAGUAAUAAUGAUAAAAUUAGUAAAAUUUUUUGUUUUUUCUUUUUAUUAAUUAAAGGUUAAGCAAAGGAAUUCGGCAAAUAAAUUUUUCACCUGUUUAUUAAAAACAUGGCUUUUUGAUUAUAAUUUAAAGUCUGGCCUGCCCAAUGAGUAGUUUAAUGGCCGCGGUAUUUUGACCGUGCAAAGGUAGCAUAAUCAUUAGUUUUUUAAUUGAAAGCUUGUAUGAAAGGUCGGAUGAAAAAAUAACUGUCUCUGUUUAAAUUUAUUUGAAUUUUAUUUUUAAGUAAAAAAGCUUAAAUAAGUAUAAAAGACGAGAAGACCCUAUAGAGUUUUAUAUUUUUUAUUUGUUAAACUUUUUGGUAUUUAA